GCUUACUAUUAGGGGAUAUAACCUUGUAGACUAUCAUAUAUAUAUUCUUUUUAAAUGUGUACUGUGUGGUACUUUGCUUUUACAGUUAAUUAUAUUGAAAAACUUCAUCUGUGUUUUUCUUCAACCUCAUUUUUAAUAAUUGCAUAAGAAUUUUAAUGUGUAAAUGUGCAGUAGUAUAAACAACCAAUUCCUGAUGAUUUAUAUAAUAUUUAAUUGUAUCUUACAGCUUUUUGUAAACUGUGAAAAGGUAAAUCCCUAGGUUUUUUUUUUUCAAUUAAAAAUGAUGCAGAAAUACUAACACAUGGAAAUCUGUUUGUAUAGCUGCUUAGAGAAAUAUUUUCUUGCUUGAGACAACUAUAAUCGAUCGU
rnacentral:lncRNA from 1 species